CUCUUUCUGCCACCCGGGGGCCUCCUCACCACCACCUGGACACAAGAGAGGCUCGGCAGGGGCGUCCUCGCCCCACGCCCAAAACCCAGGUUCCCUCAUCUCCUGAGAGGCCGCCUGCGACCCGCGAGCGUCGAGAGCUCCGCGGCCCUGGUCGAGGCGGAGCCGCCAUAGCGCCAGCCCCCGUCUCCGCCCCCGCGCCUCCCAGCCGUGCGAAACUCUGGUUGGCUUGCUUUCCAGUCUUACUUUGGGUGUAUCAUUUUGAAAAAUCUCGACUUCUUGCCCAGCCCCUUCCCAAGAACUGACAGAGGCUGUGUUUGGGGACCAGGCCCUCUUGGCGGCUGCAGCCCCGGCGUCCCGCCUCUACACAGCAGGUCGAGUGUCCGGGCCCGGGAGCACUGGAGAGAUGCGGAGCAGGAGCAACUCCGGUGUCCGCUUGGACGGGUACGCGCGGCUAGUGCAGCAAACCAUCCUGUGUUACCAGAAUCCUGUCACGGGGCUGCUGUCAGCCAGCCACGAGCAGAAGGAUGCCUGGGUGCGGGACAACAUCUACAGCAUCCUGGCUGUGUGGGGCCUUGGCAUGGCCUACCGUAAGAAUGCCGAUCGCGACGAAGACAAGGCCAAGGCCUACGAGCUAGAGCAGAACGUGGUGAAGCUGAUGCGAGGUCUUCUGCAGUGUAUGAUGAGACAGGUGGACAAAGUGGAGAAGUUCAAGUACACUCAGAGUACCAAGGACAGCCUGCAUGCCAAGUACAACAGCGCCACCUGCAGCACCGUGGUGGGCGACGACCAGUGGGGCCACCUCCAGGUGGAUGCCACCUCUCUCUUCCUUCUCUUCCUGGCCCAGAUGACUGCCUCCGGCUUGCAUAUUAUCUUCACCCUCGAUGAGGUGGCCUUCAUACAGAAUCUUGUCUUUUACAUAGAAGCUGCGUAUAAAGUUGCUGACUAUGGAAUGUGGGAGCGUGGCGAUAAAACAAAUCAGGGCAUUCCAGAAUUGAACGCAAGCUCGGUGGGAAUGGCUAAGGCAGCUCUUGAGGCAAUUGAUGAACUAGAUCUUUUUGGUGCCCAAGGAGGACGCAAGUCAGUGAUCCAUGUCCUGCCUGAUGAAGUUGAGCACUGCCAGUCUAUUCUGUUCUCCAUGCUGCCAAGAGCAUCGACAUCCAAGGAGAUUGAUGCUGGACUUCUUUCCAUUAUUUCCUUCCCAGCCUUUGCAGUGGAAGAUGUAAACCUGGUGAAUGUGACCAAAAAUGAAAUUAUUUCCAAGCUCCAGGGGCGUUAUGGAUGCUGUCGCUUUCUUCGAGAUGGUUAUAAAACCCCAAGAGAGGACCCAAACCGAUUGCAUUAUGACCCUGCUGAACUCAAGCUCUUUGAAAACAUUGAAUGUGAGUGGCCUGUGUUCUGGACAUAUUUUAUAAUAGAUGGAGUCUUCAAUGGUGAUGCUGUUCAGGUCCAAGAGUACCGAGAGGCCCUAGAGGGAAUAUUAAUCAGAGGCAACAACGGGAUUCACCUGGUGCCAGAACUCUAUGCCAUCCCACCGGACAAGGUGGAUGAAGAGUACAAGAACCCUCACACGGUGGACAGAGUUCCUCUGGGGAAGCUGCCGCAUCUGUGGGGCCAGUCCUUGUAUAUCCUCAGCUCGCUGUUGGCAGAGGGAUUUCUUGCUGCUGGUGAAAUUGAUCCCUUAAAUAGAAGAUUUUCCACUUCGGUCAAACCUGAUGUUGUGGUACAAGUUACUGUUUUGGCAGAAAACAGUCACAUUAAGGAGUUGUUGAGGAAACAUGGAAUAAACGUGCAGAGUAUCGCAGACAUUCAUCCAAUUCGAGUCCAGCCAGGCCGGAUUCUUAGUCACAUAUAUGCCAAGCUUGGUCGGAAUAAGAAUAUGCAAUUGAGUGGGCGACCGUAUCGGCACAUUGGUGUCCUUGGAACCUCUAAACUAUAUGUGAUUAGGAACCAAAUCUUUACUUUUACGCCACAGUUCACCGACCAGCAUCACUUCUACCUGGCCCUGGACAAUGAGAUGAUUGUGGAGAUGCUGAGGAUUGAGCUGGCCUACCUGUGCACCUGCUGGCGGAUGACUGGCAGACCCACGCUCACCUUCCCCAUCACGCACACCAUGCUCACAAAUGAUGGCUCAGACAUUCAUCCUGCUGUUCUUUCUACAAUCAGAAAACUAGAGGAUGGAUAUUUUGGAGGUGCUAGAGUGAAAUUGGGGAACCUUUCGGAAUUUCUCACCACGUCAUUCUACACAUAUCUGACCUUCCUGGAUCCAGACUGUGAUGAGAAGUUGUUUGAUGAUGCCAACGAAGGGAACUUCAGUCCUGAUAGCGAUUCAGAUCAGGGAGGAUAUUUGGAAGACACCUGUGAUCAAGAAAGCCAAGACGAACUUGACCAGUAUAUCAACCACCUUCUGCAAAGCACAUCCUUGAGGUGCUAUCUGCCCCCUCUUUGUAAGAAGACAGAAGACAGCCAUGUCUUCAGUGCCAUCCACUCUACUCGUGACAUACUUUCUGUGAUGGCAAAAGCAAAGGGUUUGGACAUGCCAUUUGUUCCCAUGACUUUGCCAAAUAAUGCUCUAAGUGUCCACCGUAAAUCACUGAAUCUUGUUGACUCUCCUCAGCCACUCCUAAAAAAGCCUCCCGAAGAUGACUUCCAAUGGCCCAGAGAUGACGAUGGUGAAGUGGACUGUGAGAAGCUGGUUGAGCAGCUGAAAGAUUGUUCGAACCUGCAAGACCAAGCAGACAUUCUGUACAUUCUUUACGUCAUAAAGGGUCCCAGCUGGGACACAAAUCUCUCAGGACAGCAUGGGGUCACUGUUCACAACCUUCUCAGCGAGCUCUACGGGAAGGCCGGCUUGAACCAGGAGUGGGGCUUGAUUCGAUAUAUCUCGGGACUGCUCAGGAAGAAAGUGGAGGUCCUGGCCGAGGCCUGCACGGACCUGCUGUCACACCAGAAGCAGCUCACGGUGGGCCUGCCACCCGAGCCCCGAGAAAAGACAAUCUCUGCGCCGCUUCCCCCAGAGGAGCUCACACAACUCAUCUACGAGGCCAGUGGGCAGGACAUCAGCAUCGCCGUCCUCACACAGGAGAUUGUGGUUUACCUGGCUAUGUACGUCAGGGCCCAGCCUAGCCUCUUCGUGGAGAUGCUCAGACUGCGGAUCGGACUGAUCAUUCAGGUGAUGGCCACUGAGCUGGCGCGGAGCCUCAACUGCUCAGGGGAAGAAGCUUCUGAAAGUUUAAUGAACCUCAGCCCUUUUGAUAUGAAAAAUCUCCUGCACCAUAUUCUAAGCGGAAAAGAGUUUGGUGUUGAGAGAAGCGUGCGCCCUAUCCACUCCUCCACAUCUAGUCUCGCUGUUUCCAUCCAUGAGGUGGGACAUACUGGAGUCACCAAAACCGAGAGGAGUGGCAUUAACAGACUGAGGAGUGAAAUGAAACAGAUCACUAGGCGAUUUAGUGCUGAUGAACAGUUCUAUUCUGUGAGCCAGGGCACGUCCAGCAGUUCAUAUUCCUACAAGUCUGCGGUAAACCAUGUAGGUCCAGCACCCCAUCCUCGCCCACUGGGACAUCAUCGACGGACUCAGGAGGACAUCACAUUGGCUGGGGGGAGCAGCAGGGCCAGUGGCUGCGCAGGAGAAGACUGGACGGGGCCAUCAACAGGGUCCCCGUGGGAUUCUACCAGAGGGUGUGGAAGAUCCUGCAGAAGUGCCACGGUCUCUCCAUCGAUGGUUAUGUCCUCCCAUCUUCAACGACCCAAGAGAUGACCCCGCAUGAGAUCAAGUUCGCUGUCCAUGUUGAGUCGGUGCUGAACCGUGUGCCGCAGCCUGAGUACAGGCAACUGCUGGUGGAAGCCAUCAUGGUGCUGACACUGCUCUCGGACACGGAGAUGAACAGCAUCGGGGGCAUCAUCCAUGUGGACCAGAUGGUUCAGACAGCCAACCAGCUGUUCCUGCAGGACCAGGUGUCAGUUGGAGCCAUGGACACCCUGGAGAAAGACCAAGCCACAGGAAUUUGCCACUACUUUUAUGACAGUGCUCCGAGCGGGGCUUAUGGGACCAUGACCUACCUAACAAAAGCAGUGGCUUCGCAUUUGCAAGAAUUGCUACCCAGUUCAGGCUGCCAGGUGCAAUAGGGUCUCCCCUGCAACAGAGUGUGACUACACUCUGAACUUGUCACAUGCCCCCUAGCCUCCCUGGGAACUUUUUUCUGUCCCCCAAGAUCCCCCCUCCCCCGGACUGUAACAAAAGCAGGUCCCAUCAGAACCCUUACAGAGAGGAUAUGGCAGCACUAAAGCUGCGGCAAAGCCACAGGCUGAGCUGGUGAAUCCUGUGCUCCCCAAGGAGCCCCCUGGGAUCAUCUUCUGGGUUGAUUUCACUGGAACAUUUGUCACAGCAUCUGGUCUCACGGACUCUGAGGAGGAAUUGGAAAUUGGUAUCUUUCGAGUGCAGAGUGAACUGAGAAGCCAGCUUAAAUUGGCUCUUGCAGAGAGUUACAGAAAUAGGUUCCGUGAGCUAGUGACACAUCUUAAAGAUGCAAAGAUCUUUCCAGCAGCAGAAGCUAGACACCGGACCUUGACAAGGAGAAUGGCUUAACAGGAUGCAGUCUGUCUGUCUGUGCACUGCAGUGUUUGCCAAAUAGAACAACUCUCUCUUUCUGUGGGA